GUUCUUUAACUUGUUUACCAAGAAAAAUAUCAUUAGCAUGGGUGAGAAGGUGGUUGCUUGUUGGUGGUGGUUAUAUGCAAGAUAAGGUAUUUCUUACUUAUGCACAAGUAACCUCUUAUUCUCAUUCUCAUUGUACAAAUUUUGUUGAGAAAUGUGUAUAAGUCAAGUGGUAAAUACACAUGGAUUUACACGUUAUUAUAGCGAGAUAUUAGUCAUGCAGACAUUGCAGACUUGUUGAUGAUGGAUUCGCAAAUAAUUCGCAUGGUUAAAGAAUAUGUAAGAAUACGUGUCGUAAUUGCUAACACGUAUUGCUAAUUUUUGGUUUGCUGAAUAAAAUUUAAUUUACUUCCUCUCCUUUAUUAGUAGUAAUAAUUUCCUCCCUGUAUCAGCAUGCUUUACGGGAUUGUUGACUUGUUGGGGGUUAUAUUUUGCUAAAUGUGUUAUGGAAUGGAAUAUAAUGAUUCAUUACAUGUUAUGUUGUGAAAUGAAAUGAAUGAUUUUUUUGGGUGCAGUGGAUUUAAGUAAUGCAGUUUAAUUUGUUUAUUUAUGUAAAUGAGUUGGUUGAUAUGAAAUAUUUUGACGUGCAGGCAGAGGAGGAACAAGGAGAAGAGGACACAAGUCCAAGAAGAACACGGAACAAUCGUGUGGCUGAGCACGUGCCGGCUAUACAAACGUGUUAACUCACGUGCAAAUAUUCUGACUAAUGCGAGAGGGAUUCGUUUUGACGAGACAUGGACAUGGACAAGAGCUCAUUGGACCUUGUCCUCUGGAAUGUGACCUGUUUCGAAAUGAAUCAUUUUACUUUGCGGUAGUUGUGAUGGAUGAUUUAGUUAUCUACAAAUUAAGGUUGAGUUCCUCUCCUAGAGUUAAAUUUAAUCGUUAUACAUAAUUAUUGUGCAAUGAAACUAGACGACAUGAAUUUAAUGAGAAUAAUCUAAAUGCAAAAGUUAGACUUGUACAUAAAUAAAAAUUGGGUUGCAGAUUUUA